rnacentral:rRNA from 1 species
CCUACGGGAGGCUGCAGUAGGGAAUUUUCGGCAAUGGGGGGAACCCUGACCGAGCAAUGCCGCGUGAUUGAAGACGGUCUUCGGACUGUAAAGAUCUGUUAUUAGGGAAGAAUUUUUACUUUAGGAAAUGGAAGUAAAUUGACGGUGCCUAAUGAGGAAGCCCCGGCUAACUAUGUGCCAGCAGCCGCGGUAAUACAUAGGGGGCGAGCGUUAUCCGGAAUUAUUGGGCGUAAAGGGUACGUAGGCGGGCUUGCAAGUCUGAUUUGAAAGCACAUGGCUUAACCAUGUGAGGUAAUUAGAAACUACGAGUCUAGAGAGUGGUAGAGGUAAAUGGAAUUCCAAGUGGAGCGGUGAAAUGCGUAGAGAUUUGGAGGAACACCAGUGGCGAAGGCGGUUUACUGGGCCACAUCUGACGCUGAUGUACGAAAGCGUGGGGAGCAAACAGGAUUAGAUACCCCAGUAGUC